rnacentral:misc_RNA from 1 species
AAAAGCUCUCCUCUCUCUCUGUCUCUCUCCAUCGAGGAAUAAGCACCAUGGCAAAGCCGCCGUCAUUAUUCCUCAUUCUCAUAAUCAUUUCCCUCUCUUCUCUCACAUUCCUCUCCGAAUCCAGACUCUCCUACGACUACUACGAUAAAUCCUGUCCAAGAUUCACUCAAAUCAUCCAAGAAACCAUUACCAACAAGCAAAUCACCAGCCCCACCACAGCCGCCGGCACUCUCCGCCUCUUCUUUCAUGAUUGUCUCCUCAACGGCUGCGACGCUUCCAUCCUUAUCUCUUCUACUCCCUUCAACUCUGCCGAGCGUGAUGCCGACAUCAACCUCUCCCUCCCCGGCGACGCCUUCGACCUCGUCACUCGUGCUAAGACUGCCCUCGA